GACUCUUCAUUUCAGUUUCUCAAGAUGAGAUGCCCUGCUCAGCUCCUGGGGCUGCUGAUGCUCUGGAUCCCUGUAUCCAGUGCAGACAUCAGGAUGACACAGACUCCACUCUCCCUGUCCAUCAAACCUGAAGAGACAGCCUCCAUCUCCUGCAAGUCCAGUGAGAGCCUCCUGCAUAGCAAUGGAAACACAUACUUGAAUUGGCACCUACAGAAGCCAGGCCAGUCUCCACAACUCCUGAUCUAUAAGGUUUCCAACCAAGUUACUGGUGUCCCAGAGAGGUUCAGUGGCAGUGGGUCAGGUACAGAUUUUACACUGACAAUCAGCAGGGUGAAGCCUGAUGAUGCAGGGGUUUAUUACUGUGGGCAAAGUUUAAAAUAUUGGACGGAGGUGCUCAUGGAUAAACUAGAGAGAAAAUUAACCAAAGAUGAGGAAAUCUAA